rnacentral:rRNA from 1 species
GACGGAGGGCGCAAGCGUUGUUCGGAAUUACUGGGCGUAAAGCGCGGGCAGGCGGUCUGCUAAGUCUUUUGUGAAAAUCCGGGGCUCAACCCCGUGAAAUGCAGAAGAUACUGGCAGACUGGAGACCAGUAGAGGCUAGCGGAAUUCCUGGUGUAGCGGUGGAAUGCGUAGAUAUCAGGAAGAACACCUGUGGCGAAGGCGGCUAGCUGGGCUGGAUCUGACGCUCAUCAGCGAAAGCGUGGGGAGCAAACAGG